UCAAGCUACAAAGAGCACAAGGGGAAUGCCUUGGCACCGAGAGCCGAAGAAGGACGUGACUAACUGCGAUAAGCUGCGGGGAGCCGUAAGUAGGCUUUGAUCCGCAGAUUUCCGAAUGGAGCAAUCCGGCAAGAGGAAAGUCUUGUCAUCAUAUACUGAAUACAUAGGUAUAUGAGGGGAACCGCCUGAACUGAAACAUCUAAGUAGGGCGAGGAAGAGAAAUCAACUGAGAUUCCGUAAGUAGUGGCGAGCGAACGCGGAAGAGGCCAAACCGAGAGUAGUAAUACUUUCGGGGUUCGGACAGAAUACGGCAUUGUAAAGGUUUAGUGGAAUGGAAUGGGAAGUCCAACCGAAGAAGGUGAGAGUCCUGUACACGAAAAGCCUGAACAGCCAUCUGUAUCCAGAGUACCGCCGGACACGUGAAACCCGGUGGGAAUACGGGGGGACCAUCCUCCAAGCCUAAAUACUACUCGGUGACCGAUAGUGAAGAAGUACUGUGAAGGAAAGGUGAAAAGUACCCCUGACGGGGAGUGAAAAAGAACCUGAAACCUUGUGUUUACAAGCACCGAAAGCUCAUCAAAGAGCGAUCGGGUACCUUUUGUAGAAUGGUCCGGCGAGUGAAUGUAACCGGCGAGGUUAAGCACUUAAGGUGUGAAGCCGCAGCGAGAGCAAGUCUGAAUAGGGCGUAUGAAGUCGGUUGUAUUCGACCCGAAACCGGGUGACCUACCCAUGGUCAGGUUGAAGUAAAGGUAAAACUUUAUGGAGGACCGAACCGACUCCCGUUGAAAUGGUAGCGGAUGAACUGUGGGUAGCGGAGAAAUUCCAAUCGAACCCGGAGAUAGCUGGUUCUCUCCGAAAUAGCUUUAGGGCUAGCCUUGAAAUAGAUUACCGGAGGUAAAGCACUGAAUUGGCUAGGGGCCGAGAGGUUACUGAACCUUAUCAAACUAAGAAUGCCGGAUAAUCGUUUUUCAGGAGUCAGACAGUGGGAGAUAAGUUUCAUUGUCAAAAGGGAAACAGCCCAGACCCACAGCUAAGGUCCCCAAGUAUAGUUAAGUGGAAAAGGAUGUGGAAUUGCACAGACAACCAGGAUGUUGGCUUAGAAGCAGCCACUCAUUAAAAGAGUGCGUAAUAGCUCACUGGUCGAGUGACUCUGCGCCGAAAAUUUAACGGGGCUAAACUAUACACCGAAGCUUGGGAUACAUCUAAUGUAUGGUAGGAGAGCGUUCUGUAUGGGGAGAAGUCGUAGCGAAAGCGGCGGUGGACUAUACAGAAGUGAGAAUGCCGGAAUAAGUAGCGAGAAUUAAGUGAGAAUCUUAAUGGCCGAAAGUCUAAGGUUUUUGGAGGAAGGUUCGUCCGCUCCAAGUAAGUCGGGAGCUAAGGUCAGGCCGAAAGGCGUAGCCGAUGCACAUACGGUUGAUAUUCCGUAACCAUCUGUAAUUUAAGCAAAGGGACACUUCAAAAGGGUGUGACCCGGGCGUUGGUUGACCCGGGCGUAAGGGACCGAAAUUAGAGUAGGGAAGCACACUUAGCUGAAGGCGAGAAAAGCUUUGCGUAUAGAAACAGAUGCCCGUACCGCAAACCGACACAGGUGGACAGGAAGAGAAUUCUAAGGCCAGCGGGAGAAGGGUAGUUAAGGAACUCGGCAAAUUGACUCCGUAACUUCGGAAUAAGGAGUGCUCGAAAGAGCCGCAGAGAAUAGGCCCAGGCGACUGUUUAGCAAAAACACAGGUCUCUGCCAAAUCGAAAGAUGAAGUAUAGGGGCUGACACCUGCCCGGUGCCGGAAGGUUAAGAGGAGGAGUGAGAGCUCCGAAUUGAAGCCCCGGUAAACGGCGGCCGUAACUAUAACGGUCCUAAGGUAGCGAAAUUCCUUGUCGGGUAAGUUCCGACCCGCACGAAUGGUGUAACGAUCUGGGCACUGUCUCAACUACCC
rnacentral:rRNA from 1 species